rfam:Smittium mucronatum strain ALG-7-W6 scaffold-23135, whole genome shotgun sequence.
GCCCGGCUAGCUCAAUCGGUAGAGAGUGAGACUCUUAAUCUCAAGGCUGCGGGUUCGACCCCCGCGUUGGGCU